rnacentral:rRNA from 1 species
UACGUAGGGGGCGAGCGUUGUUCGGAUUUACUGGGCGUAAAGGGCGCGUAGGCGGCUUAACAAGUCACUUGUGAAAUCUCCGGGCUUAACUCGGAACGGCCAAGUGAAACUGUCAAGCUAGAGUGCAGAAGGGGCAAUCGGAAUUCUUGGUGUAGCGGUGAAAUGCGUAGAUAUCAAGAGGAACACCUGAGGUGAAGACGGGUUGCUGGGCUGACACUGACGCUGAGGCGCGAAAGCCAGGGGAGCAAACGGG